AGUUGGAGGAGCGAUUUGUCAGGUUGAUCCCGAUAACAAACGAGACUCUGGCUUGCUAAAUAGUCGCCCGACCCAGUUAUGCAUCGGCGCUCGGCUUCUUAGAGGGACAAGCGGCGUGAAGAGCCGUAUGAGAUUGAGCAAUAACAGGU
rnacentral:rRNA from 1 species